rnacentral:rRNA from 1 species
UACGUAGGGGGCGAGCGUUGUCCGGAAUUAUUGGGCGUAAAGCGCGCGCAGGCGGUCCUUUAAGUCUGAUGUGAAAGCCCACGGCUCAACCGUGGAGGGUCAUUGGAAACUGGGGGACUUGAGUACAGAAGAGAAGAGUGGAAUUCCACGCGUAGCGGUGAAAUGCGUAGAUAUCGGGAGGAACACCUGCGGUGUAGACGGCUUACUGGACCAUAACUGACGCUGAGGCACGAAAGCGUGGGUAGCAAACAGG